GACGGGUAUCCGGCCUGAGAGGGUGAACGGACACACUGGAACUGAGACACGGUCCAGACUCCUACGGGAGGCAGCAGUAGGGAAUAUUGCUCAAUGGGGGAAACCCUGAAGCAGCAACGCCGCGUGGAGGAUGAAGGUUUUAGGAUUGUAAACUCCUUUUGUUAGAGAAGAUUAUGACGGUAUCUAACGAAUAAGCACCGGCUAACUCCGUGCCAGCAGCCGCGGUAAUACGGAGGGUGCAAGCGUUACUCGGAAUCACUGGGCGUAAAGAGUGCGCAGGCGGGAUAGCAAGUCAGAUGUGAAAUGCUAUGGCUUAACCAUAGCACUGCAUUUGAAACUGUUAUUCUA
rnacentral:rRNA from 1 species